GUAGGUGGCAAGCGUUGUCCGGAAUUAUUGGGCGUAAAGCGCGCGCAGGUGGGUUCUUUAAGUCUGAUGUGAAAGCCCCCGGGCUCAACCGGGGAGGGUCAUUGGAAACUGGGGAACUUGAGUGCAGGAGAGGAAAGUGGAAUUCCACGUGUAGCGGUGAAAUGCGUAGAUAUGUGGAGGAACACCAGUGGCGAAGGCGACUUUCUGGCCUGUAACUGACACUGAGGCGCGAAAGCGUGGGGAGCAAACAGGAUUAGAUACCCUGGUAGUCCACGCCGUAAACGAUGAGUGCUAAGUGUUGGGGGGUUCCCGCCCCUCAGUGCUGCAGCUAACGCAUUAAGCACUCCGCCUGGGGAGUACGGUCGCAAGACUG
rnacentral:rRNA from 1 species